rnacentral:rRNA from 1 species
GACGAACGCUGGCGGCGUGCUUAACACAUGCAAGUCGAACGGAAAGGCCUUUUCGGAGGUACUCGAGUGGCGAACGGGUGGGUAACACGUGGGUGAUCUGCCCUGCACUCUGGGAUAAGCCUGGGAAACUGGGCCUAAUACCGGAUAGGACCGCACUUUAGUGUGUGUGGUGGAAAGUUUUUUCGGUGUAGGAUGAGCCCGCGGCCUAUCAGCUUGUUGGUGGGGUAAUGGCCUACCAAGGCGGCGACGGGUAGCCGGACUGAGAGGUUGGUCGGCCACAUUGGGACUGAGAUACGGCCCAGACUCCUACGGGAGGCAGCAGUGGGGAAUAUUGCACAAUGGGCGCAAGCCUGAUGCAGCGACGCCGCGUGGGGGAUGACGGCCUUCGGGUUGUAAACUCCUUUCGCCAGGGACGAAGCGUUUUGUGACGGUACCUGGAGAAGAAGCACCGGCUAACUACGUG